CAGCCGCCGCGGUAAUACGAGGGGGGCAAGCGUUGUUCGGAAUUAUUGGGCGUAAAGGGUGCGUAGGCGGUUUGACAAGUCUUAUGUGAAAUCUCUGGGCCCAACCCAGAGCCUGCAUGGGAAACUGUCGGGCUUGAGUAUGGGAGAGGUGAGUGGAAUUUCCGGUGUAGCGGUGAAAUGCGUAGAUAUCGGAAGGAACACCCGUGGCGAAAGCGGCUCACUGGACCAUAACUGACGCUGAGGCACGAAAGCUAGGGGAGCAAACAGGAUUAGAUACCCGAGUAGUCCCUGUCUCUUAUAC
rnacentral:rRNA from 1 species